AUUGAACGCUGGCGGCAGGCCUAACACAUGCAAGUCGAACGAGUGGCGGACGGGUGAGUAAUGUCUGGGAAACUGCCUGAUGGAGGGGGAUAACUACUGGAAACGGUAGCUAAUACCGCAUACCAUCAGAUGUGCCCAGAUGGGAUUAGCUAGUUGGUGGGGUAACGGCUCACCAAGGCGACGAUCCCUAGCUGGUCUGAGAGGAUGACAGGCCACACUGGAACUGAGACACGGUCCAGACGCCUACGGGGGGCAGCGGGGGGGAAUAUUGCAAAAUGGGCGCAAGCCGGAUGCGGCAAUGCCGCGUGUAUGAAGAAGGCAUUAGGGUUGUAAAGUACUUUCAGCGGGGAGGCGUUACCCGCAGAAGAAGCACCGGCUAACUACGUGCCAGCCGCCGCGGUAAUAC
rnacentral:rRNA from 1 species